rnacentral:rRNA from 1 species
UACGAAGGGGGCUAGCGUUGCUCGGAAUUACUGGGCGUAAAGGGAGCGUAGGCGGACAGUUUAGUCAGAGGUGAAAGCCCAGGGCUCAACCCUGGAAUUGCCUUUGAUACUGACUGUCUUGAGUGUGGGAGAGGUGUGUGGAACUCCGAGUGUAGAGGUGAAAUUCGUAGAUAUUCGGAAGAACCCCAGUGGCGAAGGCGACACACUGGCCCAUUACUGACGCUGAGGCUCGAAAGCGUGGGGAGCAAACCGG